GGGGUCGGCGAUUGCCUCCUGGGUUGCUGGGUGGCGGGGUGUGGCUGUGGGUUGCUCCGUCGGCCCUUGCGGGUCCUUGGCUUGGCUCCCUGGGGCGCACCUUUGCUAGGGAUGUCGCUUGCGCGACGGGCUAGGCGGGGCCCCCUCGGGGGCUUUUUGUACGACCGCAAUGGCCGGGGUGUGGACGUUAUGGCUAGGGGGUGGGGUGAGGGGUGCUAUGGGGCCUCCCCGGGGGUCGUAUUGGGCGGGUGUGCGGGGGCGCGGCGCGUGGUUCCUGGCCCGGUGGAUCCGCGUUGGGAUUGGCUGGUCUGCUGGCUGGGUGCACCGGGCGCCGUGGGCGCGAUUCCGGGGCGGGGGUGCCCCGGGGGCGGAUCCUUGGGCUACGUGUCCGGGGAGGUGCUCUCCGGCCAUCUGCCCGGGGACCGGCCGCGGCUCGUGGCGGCGCUGCGCAGCCUUGGGCGGGGCGGGGCUGGUGGCCUUGGGCCCGCUGUUGUUUGGGGUGUGCUGGCGUCGGGGGGGUGUCUCGUGCCGGUGCGUGGGUCGUCGGGGAUUGCCUCCGUGGGGGGGGGGGGGGGGCUCUAUUGGCGCCGUUGGUGUGGGGGGGCGGUUCCGGGCUGGGGGUGCUUCGGUACUCUGGCUUGCCGGUCCGUGGCUGGCGGGGUGGCCCUGCUUGGCGGUGGAUGGCGUCCUCUCUCGUCGGGGGGGCCGGGGCCGCCUCCCGGUGGAGAGUGUUGUAUCGUGGCGCCGGGUGGGCCUGUGCUGGCCCUGGUGCGGGCAUGGGCCUCCCCCCCGCUCGGCCGCUCCCCUUGGUGGCGGGGUGGCGUUGCUCCGGGCCGGCGGGCGGCGGGGGUCGCCCCCUGGGGCGCCGGGGGAUGUUGUUGGUGCCUGGCUGUGCCCGGGGGUGGGGGGUGUCGCCGUGCUCCGCGGGGCCGGCGCGGUCUGGGGGGUGCCGUGGGGGGGGGUCUCCGGCUGUGCUGUUCCGGGGCCCGCAGUGCCACUUGCCCGUCUGCGCCAUCUACCCUCUCGCGUGGCCCGCCACGCG
rnacentral:lncRNA from 1 species